AGAAGUAGAGGUGCGGUGAUUAUCAGUAGCCCCUGCCGUCGGACGGAAAUGCGGCGUCGGUGAAAGGAAUAACCGCCGAAGUGAUUACGGUGCACCGUCGCGCCGUAUGAGCUGGGCGCAGUGCGAACAGCGCUGUGACUGUCAUCUUUUUCGGGUGGAGUGCUGCUGC
rnacentral:ncRNA from 1 species